rnacentral:tRNA from 1 species
GUCCAGGGUAACCUAGUGGAUAUGGCAUCUGCCCAGUAAGCGAAACACUGGGUUCAAUUCCCAUAUCUGGACA